UUUCAUACUUGCAACUUGUGUGCCUUUACUUUCUUAGAUUUGUGUAUUGAUAGGAUUGGCUAUAAGUUACAAAACUCUUUGGAACGAGGGUUUCACACUAGAUCAACAUUAGUUGCACGUCUACAUAGUUUAUGUUUUAUGCAAAUAGUGGAAGCUAUAGGAUUAAGGUUUUAAGUUUUGCCAAAUUCACCCCUCCCCCUCUUAGGGUAUACGAGCACCGAUUCCUCACACAAUCCCAUCCUUGAUGAUCCCCUAAAAACGAUAUGGUAGCUGCUCGUGAGCAAGAUUGCUGCUGAUCUCCUCACCUCCAUUGUCGCCGCCGCUGUCGUCGCUGGCUGCCCACGGAAACCCACAAUGUGAGACCCUCUUACCUUCCUCCC
rnacentral:lncRNA from 1 species